rnacentral:rRNA from 1 species
UACGGGGGGAGCAAGCGUUGUUCGGAUUUACUGGGCGUAAAGGGCGCGUAGGCGGCGCAACAAGUCACUUGUGAAAUCUCCGGGCUUAACCCGGAGCGGCCAAGUGAUACUGUCGUGCUAGAGUGCGGAAGGGGCUACUGGAAUUCUCGGUGUAGCGGUGAAAUGCGUAGAUAUCGAGAGGAACACCUGCGGCGAAGGCGGGUAGCUGGGCCGACACUGACGCUGAGGCGCGAAAGCCAGGGGAGCGAGCGGG